rnacentral:rRNA from 1 species
GGACUACACGGGUAUCUAAUCCGGUUCGCUCCCCACGCUUUCGCGCCUCAGCGUCAGGUAAAGCCCAGCGAGCCGCCUUCGCCACUGGUGUUCCUCCGGAUCUCUACGCAUUUCACCACUACACCCGGAAUUCCACUCGCCUCUGCUCCCCUCCAGUCACGCAGUCUCGACGGCACUCGCCCAGUUAAGCCGAGCGCUUUCACCAUCGACUUACGUCACCGCCUGCGCGCGCUUUACGCCCAAUAACUCCGGACAACGCUUGCCACCUACGUAUUACCGCGGCUGCUGGCAC